rnacentral:rRNA from 1 species
UACGGGGGGGGGCAAGCGUUGUUCGGAAUUACUGGGCGUAAAGGGCUCGUAGGCGGCCAACUAAGUCAGACGUGAAAUCCCCCGGCUUAACCUGGGAACUGCGUCUGAUACUGGGAGGCUUGAGUAUGGGAGAGGGAUGUAGAAUUCCAGGUGUAGCGGUGAAAUGCGUAGAUAUCUGGAGGAAUACCGGUGGCGAAGGCGGCAUCCUGGACCAUAACUGACGCUGAGGCACGAAGGUCAGGGGAGCAAACGGGG